UCCCUGGUGGUCCAGUGGUUAAGACUCUGUGCUCCCAAUUCAGGGGACACAGGUUUGAUUCCUGAUCAAGGAA
rnacentral:tRNA from 1 species